GAUGAACGCUGGCGGCGUGCCUAAUACAUGCAAGUCGAACGAGAAAGGGGCUUCGGCUCCGAGUAAAGUGGCGCACGGGUGAGUAACACGUGGGUAACCUGCCUCUAAGAUUGGGAUAACUCGUCGAAAGGUGAGCUAAUACCGAAUAAGACCACAGUUCCUGCGGGAACAGAGGUCAAAGGUAGCCUCUAUUUAUAAGCUAUCACUUAGAGAUGGGCUUGCGCACCAUUAGCUAGUUGGUAGGGUAACGGCCUACCAAGGCAAAGAUGGUUAGCUGGUCUGAGAGGAUGAUCAGCCACACUGGAACUGAGACACGGUCCAGACUCCUACGGGAGGCAGCAGUGGGGAAUAUUGGACAAUGGGCGCAAGCCUGAUCCAGCCAUGCCGCGUGUGUGAAGAAGGCCUUAGGGUUGUAAAGCACUUUCAGUGGGGAGAAAGGCCUUUUACUUAAUACGUAAGAGGAUUGAUGUUACCCACAGAAGAAGCACCGGCUAACUCCGUGCCAGCCGCCGCGGUAAUAC
rnacentral:rRNA from 1 species